CAUGGCUCAGAACGAACGCUGGCGGCGUGCUUAACACAUGCAAGUCGAACGCGAAAGAUUUCUUCGGAGAUCGAGUAGAGUGGCGCACGGGUGAGUAACGCGUAAGUUAUCUACCUCGGCAUCUGGAAUAACUCACCGAAAGGUGUGCUAAUACCGGAUACGUUGAGUAAUCAAGAAAGGUGGCCUCUGAAUAUGCUACUGUGCUGAGAUGAGCUUGCGUACCAUUAGCUAGUUGGUAGGGUAAUGGCCUACCAAGGCGACGAUGGUUAGCGGGUCUGAGAGGAUGAUCCGCCACACUGGAACUGGAACACGGACCAGACUCCUACGGGAGGCAGCAGUGAGGAAUAUUGCGCAAUGGGGGCAACCCUGACGCAGCGACGCCGCGUGGAUGAUGAAGGCCUUCGGGUCGUAAAAUCCUGUCAAGUGGAAAGAAGUGCAUGGUGGAUAAUACCCAAC
rnacentral:rRNA from 1 species